UAACGGCCGUUUUCAAUAACGUAUCUGAGUUUUCGGAUAGAUAGCUAUCUCCGAAUAUCAGCAAGAGCGUAUCUGUCCUUAGUUUGCGUUUCACAAUCACGGAUAAGUGCUAUCUCUCUUUAACCAACAGUAGAUAGCUUCUUCCCUCCGAUUUAUCCGAGCCUCUUGAUACGUUUCGUUCUACUACAAAUACGAAACAACAUCAGGAUCAAGACUUAUUUUAUUUUAUUCUAAAUUAUAACUAUAAUUUAACCAGCAUAUUGUAGACUAUCAUAAACACAUUUGUUUAUAACAAAAAGUAAUAAAAACAUAUGUAGAUUUUUUUAAAUUGGACGUAUUGCUAUUUUUAUCCUAGUCGAAAUUAUGAAACGAAACGUUUUGACAGUCCGUUUGCCAAUAAGCAGUGAUCAGUUUCUUUUGUUUGUUUUUCUAUUGUUUACCUACUAUAUUAGAUGAUGACUUACCUCCAAAACGCUUUAAAACUUUCGUUUAUAAUUCUAAGUGUGUUUAUAAUUAAAGAGCUACAGUGAAAUAAAAUGAAUUCUUCAAGAAAGGCAGCACCCAUGACAAAAGAUGAGACGAUGAUUCUAGCAGAACUUGUGGCGGCGAAAAAACAUUUCAAUAAUAAGGCAACAAAUGCCACAAACAAUAAAUUGAAGGAGCAGGCUUGGCAAACCCUUGUAAAUGAUUUUAAUUCGUCGAUUCGUCGUUUCCCACGAACUCCAUCGCAGCUUCGACUAAAAUGGGAAAACUUAAAGAACGCUACGGCAACAUAAGAAACAACCUUAGUAAGGCUGGAAGUGGUAAGGAUUGCAGAUGAAAUUUUGGAUAAAGCAUGCACAUUGUUGUAGGUCACAUAUAAUAUUUUUAACACUUUUACAGCCAAGCGGAAACAAGAUGGAAGAAAAGAAAUGCAAGGCUAGCAUAGGGACAAUGCAUUAGCAGAAUAUCUAAUAGCAAAAAAGAGACUUGACUUGGAAAAUAAAGAAAAGGAGAUUGUUGUAGCAAAAGUUAAGUUAGAUUUAGAUAAUUUAAAAAAUUAAAAAUUACUUAAAAGGAAUAUUAAAUUUCAUAAAUUAAGUAGGCAAUAAUAAUUUUAUGUUAGAUAGUUUUUUAAGUAUAUGUGCAAAUUCUAAAUUAAAUAUCUUGCAUGUACUAACUACCAUGUAAUUAUCAUUUUGGAAAAUAAAAAAUAGUCAAAUUA